AUAUUAAAUGGCUGCAGUAUUUUGACUGUACAAAGGUAGCAUAAUCAUUUGUCUUUUAAUUAAAGGCUGGUAUGAAUGGUUGGAUGAGAAAUAUUCUUUCUUUAUUUUAUAAAAAAAAUUUAAUUUUUUAGUUAAAAAGCUAAAAUUUAUUUAUAGGACGAGAAGACCCUAUAGAACUUUACUUUUUCAAUUUAUAUAGAAUUUAUUUUUUUUAAAAUUUUAUAUAAAUUAUAAAGUUUUGUUGGGGUGACAGAAAAAAUUUUUUAACUUUUUCUAUUUUUAACAUUUAUUUAUGUUUUUUUGAUCCUUUAUUAAGGAAAAAAGAUUAAGUUACCUUAGGGAUAACAGCGUUAUUUUUUCGGAAAGUUCUUAUUGAUGAAAGAGUUUGCGACCUCGAUGUUGGAUUAAAAUAAGUUACAGGGGUAUAAUAUUGUAUACUAGGUCUGU
rnacentral:rRNA from 1 species